CUGCUUGCCUGGCAGGGGCGAUGCUGGGACCACGAAGGUGGUUUUCCCCAGGGCGAGGGUCAGGCCCUGCACUGUGGACAGGCCGACCCUGGCAGGUCCCCCAACUUUGGGACCCCGAACACAGAGUCUGUGGUCAUGGGGGGCUGUGUCUGCACCGUCCCCGG